CUGAUCCGUCGCAGACGUUCCGCAAGCCACUACAAGACUACAAGGUGUUCGGUCCGUCCUGCUCUGUGUCCGGUGGCUUGCCUCUGGGUUUACUUGGAUCGCACUCAACAGUUGAGGUCAUUGGACUUGACAUAGCUGUUUAUUUCCUUUAGGACGCUGUUCCUACCGGUCUCCUCGACUACGUUGGCUCGUUGGGUUAAGAAUGUCCUUUCCACUGCGGGGAUUGAUACAUCGAUAUUUUCAUCUCAUUCGGUCAGAGGAGCCAUGGCAUCCAAAGCCUCUAAGAUGGGUUGUCGCUUGGAUGAUAUUUUG